rnacentral:rRNA from 1 species
CCUACGAGUGGCAGCAGUGAGGAAUAUUGGUCAAUAGGCGCGAGCCUGAACCAGCCAAGUCGCGUGAAGGAUGACUGCCCUACGGGUUGUACACUUCUUUUAUCAAGGAAUAAAGUGUGGCCCGUGUGCCUUUUUGUCUGUAUUUUAUGAAUAAGGCUCGGCUAACUCCGUGCCAGCAGCCUCGGUAAUAAGGAGGAUCCGACCUGUAUCCGGAUUUAUUGGGGUGCAAGGGGGCGUAGAUGGGGUGUUAAGUCAAUUGUGAAAGUUUUCGGCUCAACCGUAAAAUUGCAAUUGAUACUGGCAGCCUUGAGUACAGGUGAGGUAGGCGGAAUUCGUGGUGUAGCGGUGAAAUGCUUAGAUAUCACGAAGAACUCCGAUUGCGAAGGCAGCCUACUAAACUGCCACUGACAUUGAUGCUCGAAAGUGUGGAUAUCAAACAGGAUUAGAUACCCGAGUAGUC